UACGUAGGGGCAAGCGUUGUCCGGAAUCAUUGGGCGUAAAGAGCGCGUAGGCGGCCCUGUAAGUCCGCUGUGAAAGUCAAGGGCUCAACCCUUGGAUGCCGGUGGAUACUGCAGGGCUAGAGUCCGGAAGAGGCGAGUGGAAUUCCUGGUGUAGCGGUGAAAUGCGCAGAUAUCAAGGAGGAACACCGGUGGCGAAGGCGGAUCUCUGGGCCAUUACUGACGCUGGAGGAGCGAAAAGCGUGGGGAGCGAAC
rnacentral:rRNA from 1 species